UCAGAGAGGCUGGAAAUCUAACGGGUCUAACGGCAAUGGAACUGGGAGGAAGACAUCCUUCAGGGACGUUGCCAGGCCAGCCGGUCUUCGGUAGCCCCGAGUCGUGGCUGAAGGACAAAUGACUGACCAUGCUAUCCUCAGACCUCUACCAGAAGAAUCUACUGGGCAUCGUUGUCGAUGAGGUUCACGUCACCUACAAAUGGAAUGAAAGGCCUUCCUGCUCAGUUGGGAGAACGUCACAGCAAAGAAGACAUGCCUGUCAUGGCUUAAAUGGCAUCUGCAGUCACAGAAGAUGGGACACAGAGAGCUGCCACAUAUGGAGAGAGUGUCAUUCAACAGUGAGCCCACCCAACAGGACAGUUUGCACUAGGUUGGAUCACAGCUUAUUGAAGAAACAUGAGAAGAGCAUUAGUCCCUAUAUCUUUGAUCUAACAUAUAAUAGUACAUAACCAACAACCUUCCUGUUUUCAAAGUGUUGCAUGUGCAGGGAAUCCCAGGUUAUGUUGAUUAAAAGGAUGAGUAUUUUGACAGUGAAACACCACAGCGUAGUAGCUGGCAGUGCUUUGCAGCA